rnacentral:tRNA from 1 species
GAAGGUACAGCUCAGUGGUAGAGCGCAUGCCUAGCAUGCAGGAGGUCCUGGGUUCAAUCCCCAGUACUUCCA